CAAUAAGCGGAGGAAAAGAAACCAACAGGGAUUGCCCCAGUAACGGCGAGUGAAGCGGCAACAGCUCAAAUUUGAAAUCUGGCCCCCCGCGGGCCCGAGUUGUACUUUGGAGAGGACGCUUCUGGCGCGGCGCCGUCCGAGUUCCCUGGAACGGGACGCCGGAGAGGGUGAGAGCCCCGUACGGGCGGCCGCCUAGCCUCUGGCGAAGCUCCUUCGACGAGUCGAGUAGUUUGGGAAUGCUGCUCAAAAUGGGAGGUAAAUUUCUUCUAAAGCUAAAUACCGGCCAGAGACCGAUAGCGCACAAGUAGAGUGAUCGAAAGAUGAAAAGCACUUUGAAAAGAGGGUCAAACAGUACGUGAAAUUGUUGAAAGGGAAGCGCCUGUGGCCAGACUUGCGCCCCGCGGACCACCCGGCGCCUCGCGCGCCGGGGCACGCCAGCGGGGCGCAGGCCAGCAUCGGCUCUCUCGGGGGGACAAAGGCCGCGGGAACGUAGCGCCCUCGCGGCGUAUUAUAGCCCGCGGCGCCAUGCCCCCGGGGGGGCCGAGG
rnacentral:rRNA from 1 species